rnacentral:rRNA from 1 species
UUUAGAGGAAGUAAAAGUCGUAACAAGGUCUCCGUUGGUGAACCAGCGGAGGGAUCAUUACAGAGUUAUCCAACUCCCAAACCCAUGUGAACUUAUCUCUUUGUUGCCUCGGCGCAAGCUACCCGGGACCUCGCGCCCCGGGCGGCCCGCCGGCGGACAAACCAAAACUCUUGUUAUCUUAGUUGAUUAUCUGAGUGUCUUAUUUAAUAAGUCAGAACUUUCAACAACGGAUCUCUUGGUUCUGGCAUCGAUGAAGAACGCAGCGAAAUGCGAUAAGUAAUGUGAAUUGCAGAAUUCAGUGAAUCAUCGAAUCUUUGAACGCACAUUGCGCCCAUUAGUAUUCUAGUGGGCAUGCCUGUUCGAGCGUCAUUUCAACCCCUAAGCACAGCUUAUUGUUGGGAACCUACGGCUUCGUAGUUCCUCAAAGACAUUGGCGGAGUGGCAGUGGUCCUCUGAGCGUAGUAAUCUUUUAUCUCGCUUCUGUUAGGUGCUGCCCCCCCGGCCGUAAAACCCCCAAUUUUUUCUGGUUGACCUCGGAUCAGGUAGGAAUACCCGCUGAACUUAAGCAUAUCAAUAAG